UUCACCGUGGUUCGCAAACCUCCCACGCAAAAAAACUAGGAAUAU
rfam:Gallibacterium anatis TMN179, complete genome.